CCAAGAAGGAGAAAGUUCAAUCACAUGUAAAGAAAUGCUGUAUGGCAUUAGGAAGGUAGUAUCUUAAUAAUAUAAUGGUCUCUUUCCCUGGACGGUCCACGAUUCUUAAUCACUGGAAAAUGAAGGUUACAUCAUGUCUGCAGCAUGUGUUCCGAAACAGCCAUAUGGACGUUUUCUAUAGAAGAAGGUAAUCUCUUCUGUUUGAGCAGGUCGAGGUUAAUGGUGGUGGGUUUGUCUCUGGCACUGGAACCAUCAGUAAAGGAGUGUAAAAUUGAGAGGAUCACCUUGUUCU